rnacentral:rRNA from 1 species
UACGAAGGGGGCUAGCGUUGCUCGGAAUGACUGGGCGUAAAGGGCGCGUAGGCGGCUUGCACCGUCAGAUGUGAAAUUCCUGGGCUUAACCUGGGGGCUGCAUUUGAUACGUGUGGGCUUGAGUGCGGAAGAGGGUCGUGGAAUUCCCAGUGUAGAGGUGAAAUUCGUAGAUAUUGGGAAGAACACCGGUGGCGAAAGCGGCUCUCUGGACCACAACUGACGCUGAGGCGCGAAAGCUAGGGGAGCAAACAGG